CCUACGGGAGGCAGCAGUAAGGAAUAUUGGUCAAUGGACGAAAGUCUGAACCAGCCAUGCCGCGUGAAGGAUUAAGGCCCUCUGGGUUGUAAACUUCUUUUAUCUGGGACGAAAAAAGGGUAUUCUUACUCACUUGACGGUACCAGAGGAAUAAGCACCGGCUAACUCCGUGCCAGCAGCCGCGGUAAUACGGAGGGUGCAAGCGUUAUCCGGAUUUACUGGGUUUAAAGGGUGCGUAGGUGGGCUUGUAAGUCAGUGGUGAAAUCUCCGGGCUUAACCCGGAAACUGCCAUUGAUACUAUAGGUCUUGAAUUAUCUGGAGGUAAGCGGAAUAUGUCAUGUAGCGGUGAAAUGCUUAGAUAUGACAUAGAACACCAAUUGCGAAGGCAGCUUACUACGGAUAUAUUGACACUGAGGCACGAAAGCGUGGGGAUCAAACAGGAUUAGAUACCCUGGUAGUCCACGCCCUAAACGAUGGAUACUCGACAUCAGCGAUACACUGUUGGUGUCUGAGNGAGANAUAUAUCCACCNGAGUACGANCGCAGAUAGAACGACAAGAGUAGUAGACGNGAGAGAGACGACGACGACGACGACGGAGGAGGAGG
rnacentral:rRNA from 1 species